GGGGUAUACAAGUUUAUUUUGUGAUACAGUAUACAUUGUAUAACAUAAUUAGGUAUCCAACAAAUUAUAUGAUUGUACGUUUAGCUAUUAUCUAGACCCGUACAAAAUGUAUAUAAUAAGACACAUAUAACAGGGGCGGAUAAAAAACCUCUGAGUGUCUUGGGGGGCGGGGGAGUUCAAAUUUAGAUAUUUGUAUAGAGAUGUAUAUAUGCGAGUAUUGGCAGUAUUGGUCAUGGUGUGUGUGUGUGUGUGUGUGUGUGAGGGGAGGGUUUCAGAUCGAAGAUCGUUUCUAUAAUUCUAUAUCUUUUAAUUUUUACCAUUUCACUCUAUUCUUUAUCCUUUGAUCUCUAUUAUAUUUAUCCUAAACAUGCGUGAUAUAUU
rnacentral:lncRNA from 1 species